AACGAACGCUGGCGGCGGGCUUAACACAUGCAAGUCGAGCGAAACCUUCGUGUCUAGCUGCGGAGGUGUGAUUAACGCGGGGUAACGUGCCCUUCUCUACGGUAUACCCCCGGGAAACUUGGAGUAAGACCGUAUACGCUCAUUCGGGGUAAGAUUUAUCGGGGCAGGAUCGGCCCGCGUUGGAUUAGGUAGUUGGUGGGGUAAUGGCCCGCCAAGCAGACGAUCCAUGGCUGGUUUGUUAGGAGGAUCAUCCACACUGGGACUGAGACACGGCCCAGACUCGUACGCGAGGGAGCAGAGGGGAAUCUUAGACAAUGGGGGCAACCCUGGUAUCGCCACGCCGCGUGAGUGAUGAAGGCCGUAGGGUUGUAAAGCCCCUUCAGAUGGGAAGAUAAUGACGGUAACAGCAGAAGAAGCACCGGCUAACUACGUG
rnacentral:rRNA from 1 species